rnacentral:tRNA from 1 species
GGAAGAAUGGCAGAGCUGGUUUAAUGCACUGGUCUUGAAAACCAGCGUACGGCAACGUACCGGGGGUUCGAAUCCCUCUUCUUCCG